rnacentral:rRNA from 1 species
UGCCAGACUCCUACGGGAGGCAGCAGUGGGGAAUAUUGCACAAUGGGGGAAACCCUGAUGCAGCAACGCCGCGUGAGUGAAGAAGUCAUUCGUGAUGUAAAGCUCUAUCAGCAGGGAAGAAAAUGACGGUACCUGAGUAAGAAGCCCCGGCUAACUACGUGCCAGCAGCCGCGGUAAUACGUAGGGGGCAAGCGUUAUCCGGAUUUACUGGGUGUAAAGGGAGCGUAGACGGCAGUGCAAGUCCGGAGUGAAAGCCCGGGGCUCAACCCUGGGACUGCUCUGGAAACUGGAAAGCUGGAGUGCGGGAGGGGCAGGCGGAAUUCCUGGUGUAGCGGUGAAAUGCGUAGAUAUCAGGAGGAACACCGGCGGCGAAGGCGGCCUGCUGGACCGUAACUGACGUUGAGGCUCGAAAGCGUGGGGAGCAAACAGGAUUAGAUACCCCGGUAC